AGUAUGGCGCGGCCCGCGAGAGCCUUGUUGAUAAAAAAAUGUACUUGCUUCUGGAGACACAUGUGUACAUGUACUGGUACAUCAUUAUGAAAGCAAAAUUGAUCUCAUGAGUACAAUAAUUUUUUACGUGUACGUACGUAGAUAGUGCAUAAAUUCCUUAUCCCACCUCGUCCUACAUACCACACUGGAUUGUUUAGCCAUAGGCUAGGUACCCUAUCAUAGUGAUACUGUAUGGACCAUCCUACCUAGUAUAGUACCUUCUGCUCCCCCGUCCUACCACAACCUUUUUUGUUCAACACUGGAUUGUUCUACCUUGUCGUACAUCUUACCACAACCACAUCCUACCUUAUCGGACCCCAUCCUACCACAAACUUCUUCGUCCUACACUGGAUUGUUCAGCCAUCCUACCUUAUCGUACUCUCUCAUACAUCCUACCACGUCCUACACUGGAUUGUUCAUCCAUCUUACCCCAUCCUACUGGAUUGGAUAGCAUCAAAAACCACUGAUCAUUCGACAUCAUGAUGGAAAUCUAUACAUGUAGUAUCCAAUAAAACGUCAUUAGGACACUUUCCAUAAUUAUUUGUUUUAUUAUCUUGCUUUAGGAUCCAGGGUUUAGUUUCACUUACUACUCCAAACUUCGCGGGUAGAAAAGGCGGCGACCUUUACCGCGCGCGGCAUAGGAGGGCGGAGGCGGGUGACCCCUAUCGGCCACCAUAAAAAGCCGUUUAGAGACAGAGGGGGAUGAGGAGGAGACGCAAGACCUUGGGGCAGAGGAAGCAACAAAUGACGAAGCAAAAGAGGAGAGUGAAGGGAGCACUGUGUGUGACCCUAGUGAGGCUCGUGAUGGUGGUGGAGAGAGUGAGGGUGGGGAGGAUGAUGAGCCUCAGGCCACUGAGAUACCUCGUGUCAUGUUCACUGGUCUUAUUGACGAGGAUGGACAGAGGAGCGUACACGAUUUGGGAGGGGAAAUGGUUGACUCUGUCUACCGGUGCACACACCUCAUCAUGGACAAGGUUCGACGCACCGUCAAGUUCUUGUGUUGUCUGUCUCGUGGCUGUCUCAUUGUGAGCAGCAACUGGUUGUCCGAGAGUGCGUUGGCGGGAUAAUUCCUACCAGCUGAACCUUAUCAUCAAAGACAGAAGCUCUGAGAGACUGUUUAACUUCUCUCUUGUCAAGUCCCACCAUAGUGCCAAGUUGUGACAGGUGUGCCAUUGUGUUCCACCGAGCUGGUGCUGUUGAGAUUGGAGGUGGAAAUUGACUCACACAGGAUGAAAACAAGUGCUGUUGCUGUAACAACUAAGGGCAGAAAACGAGUAGCAAAAGAACAAUCUACAACCACAGUCCCUGCUAAGAGACGUCGUAAAUAUAGAUCGUUUUUUUCGAACCAUAAUUAUAUCCUGUAUUCCCACCCACAUAGCUAUCGUUUAUCUUAUUUAUCACUGUACGUAUCAUCAGGAAUGAACUCCUGACAUUGUUGUUUUCUUUCAUUAGGCCAUAACAAAUUGCUUCUCAUCAGAA